CUCAUUUUUCUACUGCUCGUGAUGUUCAGCCCACAAGAGCUUACUGGUGAAGGAAUGGGACAAGACCCAUCUUUAUGCAAAGCCAGCGUUACAGUAAUGUUCCAGGUAUUCCUGAUGACAGUCUGCCUCUAUCUUACAGAGCAGCUUGUUGCUAUAUACCAUUGAAAAGCCUUCAGAGCUGAGAGGUACUACUAACCAAUAACCUGCUUGGCUCAAAGGGCCAGCACCUUCUCUCUAAAGCCCAAGAGGAGUUUGAGGAAAACUAGGUGUCUGUGUUCACUCCAGGCUGAAGUUACAGGUCUGAGCAAAUAAGGUGUAUAAAAAAUGGAAUCUGUCUUGGAGGACAUCAGAAGGUGAAUUUUCCAAGUUCUUGGACAACCUAGCUGUUGAAAAGCUUUCUGGGUUUGGGGGGUAUUUCAGAUGUACCUUAAAGUGUUAGCAGACACAGAUUAAGACACUGGGAGCCAAUGAAACAGCAGUUGAGGGUUUGCUGUGUAUCACAUUUCUGUAUUUUAUCACCCCCUUCCUGCAACAUUAUUUAUCUGGAAUCUACCUGCCCUUUUGUUUUUUAGAUACAAGGGCUUGGUUUUGUUACCCAGGCUGGUUUCAAGGCCAUAGCUUUAAGAGAUCCUCUCACCACAGAUUUCCAAAGUGCUGGGAUUGCAGGUGUGAUUCAUGGCACCCAGACUUUGCUGCCUUUCUUACAUGAUCCAGGCCCAGAACCCAAACUCAGGCACUGUAUAGAUGACCACUUUCGUAAACUACUGACCUAGCUUGUUGCCAAUUGUUGAUUGAACUUCCCAUAACUCCACUUCGUGUCUGUUCCUCUGUAUACAGCCACCUUCUGUUCCCGUCAUGAGCCUUUAGGUCUCCAUUUGCAUAUUGCAAAUACUAUGUUCCAUGUAGGUAGCUCAUUCAGGGCCUUGCUCUUCACUUCAAAAAAGGUUCCCUUGAGGACUGGCUGUCAAUUUGUGUUGCUGUGUUGGUUGUUGAUGAAAAUAAUAAAAUGAUUGAUUACAUAGUCCUGUUUAAAAAAAAAAAAA
rnacentral:lncRNA from 1 species